ACGCUUGAAGUCAGUCGCGCCGUUCGGGAUUCAGCCUUGCUUCUGCUCGGUUUACUUCCCGUUGGGUGGGUCAACAUCAGUUUCGGUCGGAGGAGAAAGGCUUGGGGAAGGUGGCAGCAUUCGUGCUGUGUUAUAGCCCCUUGUUGUAUACUUCGACUGGGACUGAGGACUGCAGCACGCCUUUGGCCGGGGUUCGCCCACGUACGUGCUUAGGAUGUUGGCAUAAUGGCUUUAAGCGACCCGUCUUGAAACACGGACCAAGGAGUC
rnacentral:rRNA from 1 species